ACCCAAAUGACCAUCAGUGGGUUAAUGGAUAAACAAACUGUGAUAUAUCCAUACAAUGGAAUAAUAUUUAGUAAUAAAAAAGAAUGAAUUACUGAUACAUGCUUCAAAACAAAGAUGAACUUUGAAAACAUUGUUCUAAGUGAAAGAAUACAGAUAAAAAAGGCCACGCGUUGCAUGAUUCCGCUUAUAUGAAAUAUCCAGAAUAGGUAAAUCCUCAGAGACAGGCAGUAGAUAGAUUAGUGAUUGACAGGGGCGGGAAUGGGGUUGGGGAAUUGGGAAUGACUGCUAACAGGUAUGGAGUUUCUUUUUGGGGUGGUGAAAUGUUCUGGAAUUAGAUAGUGGUGAUGGCUGUGCAACCUCGCAAAUAUACUAAAAACUAUUGAAUUGUACAUUUUAAAAGUGGGUUGUAUGGUAUGUGAAUUAUAUCUCAAUUGAAAAUAAAAAAGGUUUGGGGCUGGCCCCGUGGCCGAGUGGUUAAGUUCGCGCACUCCACUGCAGGCGGCCCAGUGUUUCGUUGGUUCGAAUCCUGGGUGCGGACAUGGCGCUGCUCAUCAAACCACGCUGAGGCAGCGUCCCACAUGCCACAACUAGAAGGACUCACAGCUAAAAAUACACAACUAUGUACCGGGGGACUUUGGGGAGAAAAAAGGAAAAAAUAAAAUCUUUAAAAAAAAAAAAAAAAAAGGUUUUACCAGUGACUUAACCACUAGCAGAAAUGUGGUGAGUAACCGUGUUUUUGGAUUGCCAGACAAAUGUUCAUGUUCUGUCACCAUGACUAGUAAAUAUUUCCUGAAUUAAAUGGAGAUGUAAUACUUGUCUUCAAGGACCUUGCAUAUAUGAACAUGAAAAGAGAAAAUACUGGGAAAUAAGUAGUAGACCAGAAUGAGUGGUAUGAACGAAGAGUUCUCAAAGUGGGGUCUCAAAGUGGGAUUUUUGUGACCCACCCAGAGAGGUUUGGAUUUGACAGGUCUGUGGUGUAUUCCUGGGACCCUGUAUUUUUAGGAAGGACUAUAGGUGUGGAAGAGACUCAUCCAUAUCCUGCUUUAUUCUUCUUCUUGCUACUUGCAAAAUUACACUUCCCCAGCCCUUUUUGGAUGGGUGCACCAUAUGACUAAUUCUGGCCAGUGGGUUGAGAGUGGAAGUUAUGUAUAUCACUUUUGGGUUAAAGCAUUUAAUUGGCAGUAUCAGAACUUCUAGCAUUCUCUUCCAUUGCUGUGCCAAUCAGGGGAGGCCAUGUGUUCCAGACAGGUCAGGUACAGGAUGGUGGAGUCUUCAUUAGCCUGGAUCUUUGAGUCACUGCGUGGAACAAAAUGGUGCUAGAAAGUUGCCCAGACCAGCCCUGGGUUUUGCAUCAGCAAUAAAUAAACCUUUGUUGUGUUAAACCAUUGAAAUGUUGGCAUGUUUGUUAUUGUAGCAUAAUCUGGCCUAUCCUUAACCAGGGGAUUUUGAUGAUUGACCAGGUUUGGGAAUCAGUAGUAGAGAUAAUAAAAGCUAAAGAAUUGGGGGGUGAAAAGAUCAUCUAGGGCUGAGGGUGAUCAGGAAAGACUUAAUAGAAGAAUUUGAGCUGGGCCUUGAAAGAUGGAUAAGAUUGGGAUAGGGAGAAAUAAAUAGGACAUUCUGGAUAGGGGAGAUGUCACAAAUGAUACGGAAGGAGUCAUAGCAAAAUAAUAGUUCCUUAAGUUUUCUUUUCUCUUAAAAGUCAGCUAAGACUUCUCUUUAUAAUGUGCUUGGGGGGCAGAUGCUUCAACUAUUGCCAAAUAUUUAUUUUGUAGUUGGACAAACUGAAAUAACAAUCCAUGUGCAGUGUCACGCAAUGAAUCUUUCAACAAAGAUUGAAUCAUUUCAGUGUGUCCUUUGUUCUGAUGGACAGUUGUCUUGAAUUCUUCUUUCAGAGAGAAUGUAAGCACGUCAUUUUCAAUGGAAUCGGGGAAGGUUAGAAAUGGAAGACUUGAAUGCCAGGCUUCAGUUAUCCUCCCCGAUACAAUGAGAAAGACCCACAUGUUUUCCUUGGAUAUUUAUAUCCAGGUGAUUUUUUUUUUUUUCUGUCUGAAAGAGCCACCUCUUCUGCCAGCAUGCUCUCGUUCCUCCAUUCUGUCCAAGUGUCUUUGUUCCCUUUCCUGCUUGCUCUCACCUUCCUUUCUCCCAUCCUCCAACCUUUCAGGAUAUGAGAUCAGUGAGGAGGAGGGAAAAGGAACUGAUGUUUACCCAGUGCUUUAUGUGUGCCAUACAUGCUUUGACAUAUAUCAUCUCAUCUAGUCCCUGAUGGCAGCAUUCUGAGAGAGUCUCCAGAAAGGAAUGCAACCCUACUGACAUCUUGAUUUUUGCCAGUGAGAUCCACGUCGAACUUCCGACCUACAGAACUCUGAUGUUCCUGCAAAUCAGAAUUGAUUUGAACUAAGGUGAAUGAUAAACAUGCGCUGUCAGACUGCCUCCUGGGAGCCGACUGGGUGAGUUUUCAGGGUGAAUUUUCUUUGUCCUCCUGGCCUCAGGCUGACUCUAGCUCUGCUUUUCUCUCUUCACCAAAGCUGACCUUCUCUCUCUGCCUCACCUCCCACCCCAUUCCCACCUCCAGCCACAGAGGCAGCAGCUGAGCCCUGCUGUGCCAACCUCAAGUCUAGGUGACCCUGAGCAGUUACCAAGGGGCUUUGUCUUUCUAGAUACCCCAUUUGGCCAUGGUCAAAAUCCCCAAGGCCUGCUGAGGGAGGCUGAGUCUGUGUGGAAAAUUUAUAGGGGUUUAGAACCCAGAGAUUCUAGGUUGUGAGUGUGCGACUCCCCAUGUGCGAGUAUUGGAGGGAACCACUCAUAGCUUCAUGCUGUGUCGAGCUGGGGAAAAAUCACAAGGUAUGGGCCCUUUUUUCUCACCCUGUCCCCCACUCCUGGGCCUGGAAGUUUCCCCCUCCCAGUACUGUGACAUUUUUGGAUGUUCCUUUGAAUAGCUCAGGGACAAUCUAAGGAGUGAACACAAGAGAAUACCCCUCUGGAAACUUUGGAACAAAUUUCCUUGACUCCCAGAGGCCUUUAUAUAUGCUGCUUUCUUGGCUUCAACUUCCUUUGCCCUUAGUCUUAUGCUUCCUUUAAGACUCAGUCCAGAAAGGCCUGGGAAGUGUUUUCUGGCUCAUGCCUCUUACUCCAACUGCAAACCAUCCUUUAGCACCAGGCACAAUCUCUGUCAUGGCCCCUGUCAGCUAAGUCUUCACCAUUUGCUUGCAUUUGUUUCUGCAAGGGUAUCCAGGACAGAUCUCAGUCAUGGAUGCUUAGAAAAUGCUUGUGGAAUGCACAUUCCUCAGGACCAAAGGUAGAACUGAGCAGAGUACUUUCUACCCCAAGCAAUUAUAAAACCCAUUAUACAUAAAUGACCUAAGAAUAGUAGACGCUAGAAUUAAGAACAGUUUAAAUUGACAUAUGUUCCUUGUAUGAAUAAUGGCUUUCACACAUUGACUAGACCCUUUUCUCAAAAACAGAAGGAGUGCAUUUUAUACAUGUUAGCAUUUUAUAAGUAUUGCCAUUUAAGCUUAUAAUUCUGGCUCAGCUGUUGGAAUUUUGUCAUAUGCCAAAAGUUAAACAGAUGUCCAAAAGAGUGACUCACUGCCCAAAUGAAGAAAAAUGGUAAGAGCUGUUCAAAACCAACUUAAGUGUCAAUAAACUUGGAGAGAAGUAUUCUCUCGGGCUUUAAAAAAAAUCAAACAAACACAAUGAAGAGGGCAUCCUUCCCAGAGGACAAUUUGAGACAGGAUCAGUGAGAAGCAGAGAUGAAAAGACUUGCUUCCUUCUCCAACCCCAGUUGGUACAGGGAGAAGAUACUAGGAAUUUCUGAAUUGUAGAAUUACUCCUCUCCCAUGGGUUUCUGCAUUCAAGUCUUCCAAAACUCAAGGAACUAUAGAGAUUUUUCCUGGGUUACAGAUGACUUAUUAGAAAAGGUUGACAGAGAAGAAAAGGAGGUCUAUGGACAUAUGCAUUGACAAAUGAGGCCCCUCUGCAAAUGAAGCUUCCUGAAACUUGUAUCAGAUUGGAGCCUGCCCAGUGCCAUCUACUGCUGAUGGUCUGACUGCGUAGCCAGCAACAACACAGUUGACUUUAAUGAAAACAGAAUGUGGAGACCGAACACAGGUCUGCAUCCAAAUGCUGCCAGAUAUCUGGAGGGAAAUUGAAAAAUUCAUGCAACCAUGAGAAUGUUUUAAAUUAUCAGAUGUUAGGCAAGUUGAGCAUAACCUAAAUUUGUCAUUUUCCUUUUCUUUCAGGGGUAAUGGUAGAGAAAAGAUGCUUCUUUAAUUUCUGUCUGAUCAUGGUUCUUUCUGAGUUUCACAGAUCUUUUAAUAAGUAAAUAACUGAUCAGUGUAAAAGCUCUUAUUAUUUGUGGUUAGUGCCAGCAUCCAGCACCUCAAUAUUUAACCUGUAUAAUAUCUGUUAAUGUUUUAUUCAUGCUCACCAGAGAGGUUAUGAGAGCUUUGUUAAUUGCAUAAUUUUCCUUUGUCUAAAUACAUACACUUCUGUUUAUUUCUGACUUGGAGAACAACUUGUUCUUUCUUUUCUUUUCUUUUUGCUUUUCAGUUUGGGUUUAUGUCUCAGAAUUAAAAUCAAGGGUCCAUUAGGCGUCAUUCAUCUGUGAGAUGAAUUCUAUAUUCCAUCUAUUGAUUCCAUCGUGGGUGAACAUUUGCAGGGUUUAGGCCAGCAGUAGCGAGUACCCUAAAUAGGACUUACAUUAUUCCUUCAAUAUAGGAUGAAAAUGUAGGGAAAUAUCUUCAUUUGAACAGCUUUGUGGAAAAUGUUUCAUAUAUUAAGAGCUGCUGUAUGUAAUACAUGUAGUUUUCUGAUAAGUGAAAUGAAAAUAAGUAUUCUUCAUGAUAUCAAUCCAAUGGAAUACAUUUAAUAAUUCCAAACCCAUUUGCCUUUGAAUUAUGCCUUCUUGGAUGAAGAUAUUUUUCAAACCAGGAACAUU
ensembl:lncRNA